GUGGUGAGAGCACUUGGAGAGGCUGAGAGGACAUGGGCUGGGAGUGAAUGCAUGUGCACAUACACACACACACCUCUCCAGCAUAUGUACACAUGCACACACACACCUCUCCAGCAUAUGUACACAUGCACACACACCUCUCCAGCAUAUGUACACAUGCACACACACACCUCUCCAGCAUAUGUACACACACACACACCUCUCCAGCAUAUGUGCACACGCACACACACCUCUCCAGCGUAUGUACACACACACCUCUCCAGCAUAUGUACACGCGCACACACCUCUCCAGCAUAUGUGCACACACACAUAGGCACACACAUCUCCAGCAUAUGUGCACACACACCUCUCCAGCAUAUGUGCACACACACACAUAGGCACACACAUCUCCAGCAUAUGUGCACACACACACCUCCAGCAUACAUGCACACACAUGCACACACACAUCUCCAGCAUAUGUGCGCACACACAUACACGCACACACACAUCUCCAGCAUGUGUGUACACACACACACACCUCUCCAGCAUAUGUGAGCACACACACACCUCUCCAGCAUGUGUGCACACACAUGCACGCCUCUCCAGCAUAUGUGCACACACACACAUGCACCUCUCCAGCAUAUGUGCACAUACACAUAGCCAGCACAUGUGCACACAGCUCUCAUGUAUGUGCACGUGUAUCUCUAGCAUACAUGCACACAUGUAUCUGGUGUAUAUGUGCAACACAUGUAUCUGGGGCAUGUGCACACGCAUCUCUUAUGUGCACAUACACACACAUGUAUCUAGGUAUGUGCCCACGUUUUUCUAGCACACAUGCACACACAUCUCUCUAGCAUAUGUACACACACAUG
rnacentral:lncRNA from 1 species